rnacentral:rRNA from 1 species
GGGUUGUGAGGUUAAGCGACUAAGCGUACACGGUGGAUGCCCUGGCAGUCAGAGGCGAUGAAGGACGUGCUAAUCUGCGAUAAGCGUCGGUGAGGUGAUAUGAACCGUUAUAACCGGCGAUUUCCGAAUGGGGAAACCCAGUGUGUUUCGACACACUAUCAUUAACUGAAUCCAUAGGUUAAUGAGGCGAACCGGGGGAACUGAAACAUCUAAGUACCCCGAGGAAAAGAAAUCAACCGAGAUUCCCCCAGUAGCGGCGAGCGAACGGGGAGGAGCCCAGAGCCUGAAUCAGUGUGUGUGUUAGUGGAAGCGUCUGGAAAGGCGCGCGAUACAGGGUGACAGCCCCGUACACAAAAAUGCACAUACUGUGAGCUCGAUGAGUAGGGCGGGACACGUGGUAUCCUGUCUGAAUAUGGGGGGACCAUCCUCCAAGGCUAAAUACUCCUGACUGACCGAUAGUGAACCAGUACCGUGAGGGAAAGGCGAAAAGAACCCCGGCGAGGGGAGUGAAAAAGAACCUGAAACCGUGUACGUACAAGCAGUGGGAGCCUCUUAAUGGGGUGACUGCGUACCUUUUGUAUAAUGGGUCAGCGACUUAUAUUCUGUAGCAAGGUUAACCGAAUAGGGGAGCCGAAGGGAAACCGAGUCUUAACUGGGCGUUAAGUUGCAGGGUAUAGACCCGAAACCCGGUGAUCUAGCCAUGGGCAGGUUGAAGGUUGGGUAACACUAACUGGAGGACCGAACCGACUAAUGUUGAAAAAUUAGCGGAUGACUUGUGGCUGGGGGUGAAAGGCCAAUCAAACCGGGAGAUAGCUGGUUCUCCCCGAAAGCUAUUUAGGUAGCGCCUCGUGAAUUCAUCUCCGGGGGUAGAGCACUGUUUCGGCAAGGGGGUCAUCCCGACUUACCAACCCGAUGCAAACUGCGAAUACCGGAGAAUGUUAUCACGGGAGACACACGGCGGGUGCUAACGUCCGUCGUGAAGAGGGAAACAACCCAGACCGCCAGCUAAGGUCCCAAAGUCAUGGUUAAGUGGGAAACGAUGUGGGAAGGCCCAGACAGCCAGGAUGUUGGCUUAGAAGCAGCCAUCAUUUAAAGAAAGCGUAAUAGCUCACUGGUCGAGUCGGCCUGCGCGGAAGAUGUAACGGGGCUAAACCAUGCACCGAAGCUGCGGCAGCGACACUAUGUGUUGUUGGGUAGGGGAGCGUUCUGUAAGCCUGUGAAGGUGUGCUGUGAGGCAUGCUGGAGGUAUCAGAAGUGCGAAUGCUGACAUAAGUAACGAUAAAGCGGGUGAAAAGCCCGCUCGCCGGAAGACCAAGGGUUCCUGUCCAACGUUAAUCGGGGCAGGGUGAGUCGACCCCUAAGGCGAGGCCGAAAGGCGUAGUCGAUGGGAAACAGGUUAAUAUUCCUGUACUUGGUGUUACUGCGAAGGGGGGACGGAGAAGGCUAUGUUGGCCGGGCGACGGUUGUCCCGGUUUAAGCGUGUAGGCUGGUUUUCCAGGCAAAUCCGGAAAACCAAGGCUGAGGCGUGAUGACGAGGCACUACGGUGCUGAAGCGACAAAUGCCCUGCUUCCAGGAAAAGCCUCUAAGCAUCAGGUAACAUUAAAUCGUACCCCAAACCGACACAGGUGGUCAGGUAGAGAAUACCAAGGCGCUUGAGAGAACUCGGGUGAAGGAACUAGGCAAAAUGGUGCCGUAACUUCGGGAGAAGGCACGCUGAUAUGUAGGUGAAGCGACUUGCUCGUGGAGCUGAAAUCAGUCGAAGAUACCAGCUGGCUGCAACUGUUUAUUAAAAACACAGCACUGUGCAAACACGAAAGUGGACGUAUACGGUGUGACGCCUGCCCGGUGCCGGAAGGUUAAUUGAUGGGGUUAGCGGUAACGCGAAGCUCUUGAUCGAAGCCCCGGUAAACGGCGGCCGUAACUAUAACGGUCCUAAGGUAGCGAAAUUCCUUGUCGGGUAAGUUCCGACCUGCACGAAUGGCGUAAUGAUGGCCAGG